rnacentral:rRNA from 1 species
CCCUUAGAUGUUCUGGGCUGCACGCGUGUUACAAUCGGGAGUACAACAAGAUUGCAAAUCCUAGUGGAUGAGUGGUUCUUCGAAAUUUUCUGAAGACUGGGAUAGUUGAUUGAAAUUAUUCAACUCGAACGAGGAAUUCCUUGUAAUUGUAAUUCAUUAUAUUGUAAUGAAUACGUCCCCGCCCUUUGUACACACCGCCCGUCGCUCCUACCGAUUGAACGAUCCGGUGAAUUAUUUGGAGUAGCUCUGGAAGUUGCAGAACUUCCUAUGUCACGAAAUUUUGUAAACCUUAUCGUUUAGAGGAAGGAAAAGUCGUAACA